rnacentral:lncRNA from 1 species
AAAAAGACAAAAAGAAAGGAGUAGUUAAUGCCUGUUUGGCUACAACAUCGUGGCUCUUUAGUGAUCAUCCAAAUGACCCUCAUCACUCCCACCGCACCGGCCUCGUGUUAGCAAACCGUAAUAACCGCUGCCUCCUCCUGCUUCUCUUUCCACACCAGUAAAGCUAUGACCUCGGUGGUGACGCAAUUCCCCUGCGUCAGUAGUAUUAUUCUCUGCCCUAAUUUCCAUCAUCCCAAUCCCAAAUGCUUUGCAUUUUCCCGCCAAAUCAACGUCCAAGAAUCCAGCUUUAUAUUUCCUACUGCUACCUUCAGCUCAACAUUUCGCCGCAGCAGAACACAAUCGCUUUGCUUAAUCUCCUGUUCCGCUUCCAAUAAGCCUUCUCCCUCUCCUGAUUUCAGGUCUCUCUCUCUUACAUGUAUUUGUAUUUUAUAUGUAUGCAUUUGGUUACAAUGUUAAUACCUUCUAUUUCUAUUGUCAUAUGAAUUCAAGGUUUGCAUUAUUAUUGCAAUGAUGAAACAUUAAAUUGAAUCGUAAUGAAAUAAAUAAAAAAUUUACUCCCCUCAGUGUUAAAGUUCUAAAAUUAGACAGACAUUUGUAAAACUAGGACUUUUAAGGAAAAUUUUAUUUUUUCCAACUUAUCCACAACAUUAGUUAGCAAUUUAGUGGUGGUGCCAUGAUGGUACUCAAUCAACCACCAAUAAAAGUAAUAGUUUUGUCACUUUAUACUCUAAAAAUAGAAAUGUAUAUCUAAUUUUGGAAUAGACAAUAAAGAAUUAGAAAUUAUGUAUUAUUCUGGAUGCUAGUUUCCUUUCAAUGUGACUUGAAGGGUGUUCUGUAAAGUUAUUUAAUUUAAACAAGUUGAGUAGGAUUAAAACACUGGCAGAUAAUUUGCCCUUUACGAGAAUCAAGCUUUUGUUUGACUGAUAUGUUUAUUGAUUUAGCAAUCUCAUUUUGAUACAAGUUAAAUUCCAACUAUCAGAGGUUUAAACAUUGUUAAAAUUGAAUCCUGCAAAAGUAAAAUUCAUCGUCUUUUAAUGUGCUGAAAACCACUGCAUAUGUCUUUGUAGUUGAUGGUGUGUGGUGAUAGAUUAAAUAGACAACUCCUUUACACAACAAGGGAUCCUCAGU